GAUGAAGAACGUAGCGAAAUGCGAUAAGUAAUGUGAAUUGUAGAAUUCAGUGAAUCAUCGAAUCUUUGAACGCACAUUGCGCCCUCUGGUAUUCCGGGGGGCAUGCCUGUUCGAGCGUCAUUAUAACCACUCAAGCUCUCGCUUGGUAUUGGGGUUCGCGGUUCCGCGGCCCCUAAAAUCAGUGGCGGUGCCUGUCGGCUCUACGCGUAGUAAUACUCCUCGCGUCUGGGUCCGGUAGGUCUACUUGCCAGCAACCCCCAAUUUUUACAGGUUGACCUCGGAUCAGGUAGGGAUACCCGCUGAACUUAAGCAUAUCAAUAAGCGGAGGA
rnacentral:misc_RNA from 1 species